UACGGGGGGGGCAAGCGUUGUUCGGAAUUACUGGGCGUAAAGGGCUCGUAGGUGGCCAACUAAGUCAGACGUGAAAUCCCCAGGCUCAACCUGGAACUGCGUCUGAUACUGGAUGGCUUGAAUUCGGGGAGAGGGAUGCAGAAUUCCAGGUGUAGCGGUGAAAUGCGUAGAUAUCUGGAGGAAUACCGGGUGGCGAAGGCGGCAUCCGUGGACCGAUAUUGACACUGAUGAGCGAAAGCCAGGGGCAGCGAAACGGG
rnacentral:rRNA from 1 species